rnacentral:snRNA from 1 species
AGUAUCAUAACCAAUGAAGUUAAUCUGAGGUGUGAUUAUUGCUAGUUGUAAACUCUUCAAGGC